rnacentral:rRNA from 1 species
UUGCAUAUCAAAAAAGCGGAGGAAAAGAAACCAACAGGGAUUGCCUUAGUAACGGCGAGUGAAGCGGCAACAGCUCAAAUUUGAAAGCUGGCUCCUUUGGAGUCCGCGUUGUAAUUUGUAGAGGAUGAUUCGGCAAGGGCUCCCGCCUAAGUCUCCUGGAACGGAGCGUCAUAGAGGGUGAGAAUCCCGUAUGCGGUGGGCUGCCUAAGCCAUGUGAAUCUCCUUCGACGAGUCGAGUUGUUUGGGAAUGCAGCUCUAAAUGGGAGGUAAAUUUCUUCUAAAGCUAAAUACCGGCCAGAGACCGAUAGCGCACAAGUAGAGUGAUCGAAAGAUGAAAAGCACUUUGGAAAGAGAGUUAAAAAGUACGUGAAAUUGUUGAAAGGGAAGCGCUUGCAGCCAGACUUGUCCGCAGUUGCUCAGCCGGUCUCCUGACCGGUGUACUCUUCUGCGGCCAGGCCAGCAUCAGUUCGGGCGGUCGGAUAAAGACCUCGGGAAUGUAGCUCCUCUCGGGGAGUGUUAUAGCCCGGGGUGGAAUGCGGCCAGCCUGGACUGAGGAUCUCGCUUCGGCUAGGAUGCUGGCGUAAUGGCUGUAAGCGGCCCGUCUUACACCCACGGACCAAACU